UGCAUUGAGUUUUACUAAUUAGCUCAAUUAGCAAUGAGUUUUACUAAUUAGGGAUUGUGGUGGUUUAACUCAUUUGAAAUUUGUACCAUGAGUAAACUGUUCCUUCCUUCAAAGGUCUAUCAUGGAUACUUGACUGCAGUUCUGUGAGUAUCCCAACUUAACCAUGAAGAUGAACUGCAAACUGUAAGUCAUUAAUUUCUCAUAACUCUUGGGCACAUUGAUGUAUUUUGGCUUACCUGAAGGUUGAUCUGAGUAGCAAGGAUGUUUUAUUGGUUCAUGGGUUACUUAGGGAUUUGGUUUAUGUUGGUUUUAAUGAUUUGUUAAAAUGGUUACAGGCUCCAAGUUAUUGUUGUAAGCCUGGGCAAUGGGUUGGUUUCUGAUAUCUGCAGUCUUCUUUCAUUCUACUCUCCUGAGCUCUGCAUCUUCAUCACAUGAGUGUUGCUUUACUGAUGAGGGUGUGGUCUGAGUGAGCAGAGGUGCAUACUGGGAUACAGAGCUGUCUGAAGUCUACAGGUCUGUAGACACGCCCCCUCAGGGGAAACGGAGUGUUUGAGAAUCUGUCGUGACGUCAGUUACAUGGACUGGAAUGUUAUUAAAGAUGGAGACAGGGAUUCAGAAGGAGAAACACCAGGGGGAGAUGAGGGGGCUCCUCAUCUCAACGGCUAAAACACAACUUCAGUCUGACAGAGAACCAUGGAACACAUUCAACAGUCCCCUGCAGGCAUCGUGACUCCUCGGGAAGGUUUCAUUUCCAAGGUCUUAUUUGGGGCCAUCCCCAUAUGGAUCCUGCUCCUCAAGAGCCACCCCCCUCCACUGGGUGGUCUUCUGAACAGAUUACCUCCUUCCUGUCCUCAGGCUGACUAAAGCUGCACCGUUUGCAUCUGUGAAGGCCCCUCAUUCAGGAAACCACUGGACUACAAAGACAUGACUUCAGAGACGUUGAAUCAACCUGGGACAUAUUUUGUAGACGCAAAGCAUAAUCCAUCACCAAUGUGGGACGCCACUGAAGAAUGUUGUGCAUAAUUUACAUCUCUGGAGAAAUUGGUUGUUCUGGUAUGGGUGCCCUGGCAGGAGGCCUGGGGAGGGGAGGGGAGGGGGGGAAUGAUGGAAUGUUAUUUGGCAUGAGGUUUUUACCCUGCAUGAUUGUUUGGCCUUUUAUGGCUCAGUGUUUGGUUUUGACAUGAGAUGGAAGAUUUUUGAGGGUUCUACUGUGUGUGUGUGUGUCUCCCACUCACACCUGGCAUGGGGUUCUACGUGCCUUUCCUGGGUUCUAUGUGUGUCCGGCUUGCUUUGACAGUGAUAAUGUUCAUACGGGGGUCUGUGUGAUUGGCUUGGGUUAUUGGAAUGUUCAACUAAAUCAUACCUGAUGGAUGACCACACGUUAACUUAAGGGCCUCCAGUCGGCAUGAAGAGCCCUGAGCGACGCUCCAGAGCGAUAUCCAACACACUGGGCAGGAAGGAGAGUAUCCAACUCAAGUGUAAAAGGAUGCAAGCGGAGUGUUCAGAUCAGUGACUUCAAACUAGGACUACACCAAUCAGGAUCAAUGGAGGAUUGACACCAAAAGGAAUUCCACAAGGAGAGUCUGACGUUGGAAAGGGACCUAAAUGGAUAUUCAAGAUGACCUUCAGACCUGUAAUGAGACGGCUCUUCCUACCUGGCCGGAUUGAUGGAGAGCCCUGUGGAAACCUUCACUGGGGCUUCAAGGUAUAAAGUGGAGAAUGUUUCCAUGGUACUCUGAUGAAGACCGUUGUUGUGUUCCACUGGCUGAGGGGAAGAACCCACACAUCUUUCUCUUGACCGUUCUCCUCUGAGAAUCCUGGUGCCAUCUUGAAGGAUAUUCCAGCUCAUGUAACUGAUGUCACGACAGUUUCUUAAACACUUGGUUUCUCCUGAGGGGUGUGUCUAUAGAACUGAAGACUUCAGACAGCACUGUAUCCCAGCAUGUAUCUCUGCUCACUCAGACCACACCCCCAUGAGUAGGAUGCAACACUCUAGUGAUGGAGAUGUAGAGUUUUAUAAGUAACGAGGGAGCAGACUAAGGUGAUUAGAACACAAUGGAAUGUCCAGUCUGUAAAUCUUUAAACCAUGAAGAUGGUUGCAUAGUUCAGGAAUUGGGCUUCUUUUUAUUAUCGGCAGUCCUUUCACUCGGAUGCCCACGAUUUGCUGUUGGUGAUGAGGCGGUCAGGGUGACGUUGCAGGGCUAUGGUCGGCUCUCUGCUCAACGUUUAGAUUUGCUCUGUAUGGUUUAUACCCGGAAUAAUCUGGAUAAUUGUAAAAUGUAUACACGGUUUUGUAUUGAAUGAUUUUAGUUUUAAAGUUGUUGUGGGACGUACAUGGUAGUUUGGUUCUUCGUAUGGUUUUGAGUGAUAUAACUUGUACACACUGGGUGCAUAAUAAUGUAAAGGUACACUGAAUAGUAAUGACCAACAGCAACAAACAGAUCUCCUCAAGGUAAGUCUGUUGGCUGUGUUUUAAUGAAGACCAUCGCUGGACUUCAGGAUCUUCCUCCGUUCAGCUCAAGGUGAGGCGCUGGUUCUGUUUUUUCUUUGGUUGGUUCCGGCCGGAAUGUUCGGAUUCCAGUCGGACGGUUUGUGCUUCCCGCCGUGGAAGGUUCUGAGUGUGGUCACUUGAUUUAGUCUCAAUGGUUAGCAUAGAACGUUGUAGUCUUGACUAUCAUAAGAAACCACCUGGCAGUUUGUUGGACUGGAGUCCCCUGAGGGAAUCUGGCGGAACGUUCUGGAUUGUAUUUGCGUAACCUCGAGCCGUUUCCUAUUCUAUUUCAGUCGGUUUCGAUUGGGAAUUGUUGCCCCUAUCUUAAACAACUUAAGUCUGAUAUUAAAUAAAUACUGACACGUACGUCGUACAAUAUGUUGAUAAAUUCCGAUGGUUGCGCCGUACUUUAAACCACGAUGGCGUGACGGGACUCUCACUGCGUACAAAACGGCGUUCUACUUGCGGGCCCAUUUUUGACAUCAGGGAAGGCUGAAAAUCAUUUCAAGGUGGAAGAUAAUUUGACAUUUCUCAACGGAACCCAGCACCUGAAUAUGGCUGAGUAUAUUUGAUUUAAUAUCGAUACUGCUUAGAGUUCUUUGUUACUUCAGCUUUUGUAUGUUCUAAAUAUCUGCUGUCAUUAAUUGCCACAGAAGUUAAACCCUACCCAAUGGAAUGACUUUAAACGAAGAUUUUGGUUCAGAGUUACCAACUUCAUAAUAUCAAAGCUAAAAUAAUGGCCGUCAUUCCCACAUGUUACAGUAGAAGAUACUCUAGAACUGUACAAGGUUAAAAAGGUAAUGUGUAGUUUUUCCCAAGGUGUCUGCCUCCUCACCCAGAGCAAGACCUCCACCUCCUCAGCCAGAGCCAGACCUCCACCUCCUCACCCAGAGCCAGACCUCCACCUCCAGUCAGAAGUCCUCCAGAACAGCUGAACAGCGAGGCUGAGAGGCUGGGGACCAGAGGCUUGUGGUGCCAGGGUGGACCGGAGACUGAGGCUGGAGACCAGGGGCCCACAGCACCGGACCAGAGGGUAACCAUCACCAAGCUCAUCUGAAACACUAAAAUCCACGGUAGUUUAGGUCUAGUUUUGAUCAUCUUAUGACUUUAAAUCUGUGCCAAGCUGUGAUUUUAGUUAAUUCAUACGGGGGUUAUGUAGUAGUCAUAUGAGCCAUUAAUGUUACUAGUGCUCCUACGACCGUAGUGGAUGAAUUGCUGAACGCGACAAUCUGCAGACAUUGUCUAAUUUAAGUGUUUAAAUUUGUAUUCCAUUUUACAAGUGAACCUCAGAUGCAGGAGGUGGGGUGUGUUGCGUCCCCAGGUGAUUUACUGCUGAGAUGAACUGGGUUUGUAACCAGACCAGGAAUCCAUGCCUGGAGGAGCCGUGCUGAAGGAGCUGAUGGAGGAGCCAAGACUCUGGAGGACGACAUCACUCCACCAACCAGGAUCCUCGUAAGUUUGCCUAAAAUAAACAGUGGACUUGUUGUAACGCAGGAUUAGUUUGUCCAGUACAAGUUACGGCAUACUAUUGUGGUUGUUUACCAGACAAACUACAGCUGCUACUUUGUUACGCGCCAUUAGAGUCCAAGUACUCCUGUGUUUGUGACCUUACAUUAGAGACAAACUACUAUGGUGUUUGUUACCUGAUAUUAGAGACAAACUACUCCUGUGUUUGUUACCUUACAUUAGAGACAAACUACUCCUGUGUUUGUUACCUUGCAUUAGAGCCCAACUACUACUGUGUUUGUUAUCUGAUAUUAGAGCCCAACUACUCCUGUGUUUGUUAUCUUUCAGUAGAGGCAAAGUACUCCUGUGUUUGUUACCUUACAUUAGAGACAAAUUACGUUUGUAGAGCCAGACCAGGAAUCUGGAGGACUGAUGGAGAAGCCAUACAUCUGGAAGGAAAAUCACCAGCACUCUACCAUCAAGGAUUCCUCAUAAGUUUGCAUUAUCUGGACAUAGUGGACUAGGUAGGGGGUUGGGGGUUCAACUCUCAAACCAAUGGUGCCGGAUUCAAGUCCUCAGAAUACAGUGAUGCGUCCUUGAGGAAGGCGCCCUAAAGCCUGCCUGCUCCUUGAUGACUUAUCUUUGGUUCAGAUAAUGUAGCAUCUUUUGAAUAUUGAACCUAAUCAAUGUCCUUGUUUGGUCCGGGCAGACGCACAUGAGCUGAACCUCACCUGAUCCUGUUUGGCCGGGGGAGACACAUCUGAGCUAAACCCGCCCUGAUCCUGACAUCCUGCUGGUCCCGUCUCCUCAGUUCAUCUGAGCCUUGUCCUCCAGAAGACCUGCUGAGCUCAGCAGUCUGAGGCUGAUGGAUCAAUGACCUCCAGUGGGAGUGAUCUUCUUGACCCCACAUAUAACAGUGUGCUUCCACACGCCUUUCCCUCACGUCUGUCACUAACCUCACUACUCUCUACUGCUUCCUCUUUUCUUCCUUCUCUGUGGUUCAAACCUUUACACUGAAGGCGCAUCUUCCUGCCCUCAGAGGGUUUAGGGUUAGGGUUGAGUCAGGGUUUAGAGUCAGGGACAGAGCUGGUUAGGGAGGACUGCUUUUACACAAACCUCUUCACUUGCUUUCGGAAUGGUGGUGACAUUUCGAAAAGAUUAAUUUGGAAAAUGUUUUCCUCUGCUUUCCUUUAUAAAAUUGUAUUACAUUUCUGUCAAGUGUUUUUGUUUAUAUAUUAAAAUCCCACAUUGACUUCUGCA